rnacentral:rRNA from 1 species
UACGGGGGGGGCAAGCGUUGUUCGGAAUUACUGGGCGUAAAGGGCUCGUAGGCGGCCAACUAAGUCAGACGUGAAAUCCCUCGGCUUAGCCGGGGAACUGCGUCUGAUACUGGAUGGCUUGAGGUUGGGAGAGGGAUGCGGAAUUCCAGGUGUAGCGGUGAAAUGCGUAGAUAUCUGGAGGAACACCGGUGGCGAAGGCGGGUCUCUGGAACGCAACUGACGCUGAGACGCGAAAGCGUGGGGAGCAAACAGG